CUGGACCAGAACUGGACCUGAACUGGACCAGAACUGGACCAGAACUGAAUCAGAACUGGACCAGAACUGGACCUUCCUUCGGCAGGAGCUGCUGCUCAUCAAUGAUGAAUGAAGGCGUCACAUUACCUGGCUGCUGUUUCCCACCUGCUUCCUGACAGCCAAUCAGCAGCCAGCAGCGCCGACCAAUCAGAAGCUGGGAACCGGAGACUCCUGACAGGUUAGUUUUGUUUUGUCUCUACAUAUUUGAACCAGAGGAACCAGUGGAACCAUCUUGUUCCUGCUGAGUGUUUUUGUUUUCUGUUUGGUGGAAACCCUCAGGAGUCGCUGACCUCCACGGACAGAAGGCUCCGCCUCCAGCCGGUCUCUGACCUCCAGCGCUGGCUGUGGGUCGGUUCUGGAGGACCGGUGGGCGCAGCGGCAUCAUAUCGUGGAGCGGAUCUGGACGAGGUUCUGAAUAAAUGUUUGAUGAAUGGGAA